GUGAAGAGGGCCGUGAAGAAAAGAAAACAGAGCAUGUGAUUUAGCCCGUGCUUCUCCCCCACCCACUCCCCGCCCCACCCCAGGAGCCUUUUGGCAACCCCUGGAGAAGUUUCUGGGUGUCACAAGCAGAGGGAAGGCGCUGCUGGCAUCUGGUGGGUGGAGCCCAGGAGGCUGCCACACAUCCCAUCGCCCACCGGACACCCCCCACGACAGUGUCAAUGGUGGCGAGAGGGAGGAAGCUCCGUCUGCCAGGGAAGACCUCCCGGAGGAGGUGAUGGAAGAGCCGAGACUGAGCUCCAGCACAAGUCCCUGGAGGAAGCGACGUGGAGCGCUGGUGUGAGGACAUGUGCUUGUUCCAAAAGGGUGGAAAAGAUCCAGGUGGCCGACUCAUCCGCACAGAAGGAGACGGCCCAGAACCGGCAGCCAUCUUCCAUCUUCCCUCAAAUGUGCGCCUUCCCAGCACCGAGCGCUGCUGCCUUCGGCUCUGAAUUUCUCGCCUGAGCUGAAAACACCCCCCUGGGUUCCCAGAGUCCCCAGAGAGAGGCCCUGUGUCAAAAUCCUGCUCUCGAGGACAGGUGUCAGACCCAGCUUCUGAGAAACUCCACUUCACAAGAAGGGGCGUUAUGGGAAAUUUGCAGGAAUACAUUUUUAGUAAAUAAACAAAUUUUCUAAAAAUGAUAAUUUGCCCA
rnacentral:lncRNA from 1 species